rnacentral:rRNA from 1 species
AUUGAACGCUGGCGGAAUGCUUUACACAUGCAAGUCGAGCGGCAGCGCGGGGGCAACCCUGGCGGCGAGCGGCGAACGGGUGAGUAAUACAUCGGAACGUGUCCUUAAGUGGGGGAUAGCUCGGCGAAAGCCGGAUUAAUACCGCAUAAGCUCUGAGGAGGAAAGCGGGGGCUCCGUAAGGACCUCGCGCUGUUGGAGCGGCCGAUGUCGGAUUAGCUAGUUGGUGGGGUAAAGGCCCACCAAGGCGACGAUCCGUAGCUGGUCUGAGAGGAUGAUCAGCCACACUGGAACUGAGACACGGUCCAGACUCCUACGGGAGGCAGCAGUGGGGAAUUUUGGGCAAUGGGCGAAAGCCUGACCCAGCAACGCCGCGUGAAGGAUGAAAUCCCUCGGGAUGUAAAACUUCGCAAGAACAGGAAGAAAUAAGUAGGGGAACGAAUACCCCCUAUGAUGACGGUACUGUUUGUAAGCUCCGCUAACUCCGU